GGCUAAUGAUGGUAGAAAAUAUUUGCUACUCUUGAUGGGUUAAUACCCAUUUGAUGAUUUUUAUCACCAAGAUCUCUGAGGCC
rfam:Lupinus angustifolius cultivar Tanjil chromosome LG05, whole genome shotgun sequence.